AAUAGAUACCCUGGUAGUCCACGCCGUAAACGAUGAGUGCUAAGUGUUAGGGGGUUUCCGCCCCUUAGUGCUGCAGCUAACGCAUUAAGCACUCCGCCUGGGGAGUACGGUCGCAAGACUGAAACUCAAAGGAAUUGACGGGGGCCCGCACAAGCGGUGGAGCAUGUGGUUUAAUUCGAAGCAACGCGAAGAACCUUACCAGGUCUUGACAUCCCAUUGACCACUAUGGAGACAUAGUUUUCCCUUCGGGGACAACGGUGACAGGUGGUGCAUGGUUGUCGUCAGCUCGUGUCGUGAGAUGUUGGGUUAAGUCCCGCAACGAGCGCAACCCUUGUUCUUAGUUGCCAUCAUUUUAGUUGGGCACUCUAAGGAGACUGCCGGUGACAAACCGGGAGGAAGGUGGGGAUGACGUCAAAUCAUCAUGCCCCUUAUGACCUGGGCUACACACGUGCUACAAUGGACGGUACAAACGGUUGCCAACCCGCGGAGGGGGAGCUAAUCCGAUAAAACCGUUCUCAGUUCGGAUUGUAGGCUGCAACUCGCCUACA
rnacentral:rRNA from 1 species